GACGAACGCUGGCGGCGUGCCUAAUACAUGCAAGUAGAACGCUGAAGGAGGAGCUUGCUUCUCUGGAUGAGUUGCGAACGGGUGAGUAACGCGUAGGUAACCUGCCUGGUAGCGGGGGAUAACUAUUGGAAACGAUAGCUAAUACCGCAUAAGAGUAGAUGUUGCAUGACAUUUGCUUAAAAGGUGCAAUUGCAUCACUACCAGAUGGACCUGCGUUGUAUUAGCUAGUUGGUGAGGUAACGGCUCACCAAGGCGACGAUACAUAGCCGACCUGAGAGGGUGAUCGGCCACACUGGGACUGAGACACGGCCCAGACUCCUACGGGAGGCAGCAGUAGGGAAUCUUCGGCAAUGGACGGAAGUCUGACCGAGCAACGCCGCGUGAGUGAAGAAGGGUUUCGGAUCGUAAAGCUCGGUUGUAAGAGAAGAACGAGUGUGAGAGUGGAAAGUUCACACUGUGACGGUAUCUUACCAGAAAGGGACGGCUAACUACGUG
rnacentral:rRNA from 1 species